UUGAUCCUGGCUCAGGACGAACGCUGGCGGCGUGCCUAAUACAUGCAAGUAGAACGCUGAAGACUUUAUCUUGCUAAAGUUGGAAGAGUUGCGAACGGGUGAGUAACACGUGGGGAACCUGCCCCUAAGUCUGGGAUACCAUUUGGAAACAGGUGCUAAUACCGGAUAAUAAAGCAGAUCGCAUGAUCAGCUUUUGAAAGACGGCGUAAGCUGUCGCUAAGGGAUGGCCCCGCGGUGCAUUAGCUAGUUGGUAAGGUAACGGCUUACCAAGGCGAUGAUGCAUAGCCGAGUUGAGAGACUGAUCGGCCACAAUGGGACUGAGACACGGCCCAUACUCCUACGGGAGGCAGCAGUAGGGAAUCUUCCACAAUGGGCGCAAGCCUGAUGGAGCAACACCGCGUGAGUGAAGAAGGGUUUCGGCUCGUAAAGCUCUGUUGUUAAAGAAGAACAUGCGUGAGAGUAACUGUUCACGCAUUGACGGUAUUUAACCAGAAAGUCACGGCUAACUACGUGCCAGCAGCCGCGGUAAUACGUAGGUGGCAAGCGUUAUCCGGAUUUAUUGGGCGUAAAGAGAGUGCAGGCGGUUUACUAAGUCUGAUGUGAAAGCCUUCGGCUUAACCGGAGAAGGGCAUCGGAAACUGGCUAACUUGAGUGCAGAAGAGGGUAGUGGAACUCCAUGUGUAGCGGUGGAAUGCGUAGAUAUAUGGAAGAACACCAGUGGCGAAGGCGGCUACCUGGUCUGUAACUGACGCUGAGACUCGAAAGCAUGGGUAGCGAACAGGAUUAGAUACCCUGGUAGUCCAUGCCGUAAACGAUGAGUGGUAAGUGUGGGGAGGUUUCUGCCUCUCAGUGUUGCAGUAAAAGCAAUAAGCAAUACGCUUGGGGAGUACGACCGCAAGGUGGAACUCAAAGGAAUAGACGGGGGCCCGCACAAACGGUGGAGCAUGUGGUUUAAUUUGAAGCAACGCGAAGAACCUUUCCCGGUCUUGACAUCCCGAUGCCAUUCCUAGAGAUAGGAAGUUUCUUCUGAACAUCGGAGACAGGUGGUGCAUGGUUGUUGUCAGCUCGUGUCGUGAGAUGUUGGGUUAAGUCCCGCAACGAGCGCAACCCCUAUUGUUAGUUGCCAUCAUUAAGUUGGGCACUCUAGCGAGAGUGCCGGUAAUAAACCGGAGGAAGGUGGGGGGGAGGUCAAAUCAUCAUGCCCCUUAUGAGGUGGGGGACACACGUGCUACAAUGGUUGGUACAACGAGUGGCGAGUCGGUGACGGCAAGCAAAUCUCUUAAAGCCAAUCUCAGUUCGGAUUGUAGGGUGCAACUCGCCUCCAUGAAGUCGGAAACGCUAGUAAUUGCGGA
rnacentral:rRNA from 1 species